UUCUUCUUCUUCUUCCAUCUCACGUUGCUUCUAACCUCCAUGGAAGCUUGAUAUGGAGCUUGCAUAAUUUUCUCUCUUUUGCUUUAGUUUUCAUAUCUUUGAGCCCUUUUGACUAGAACCCUUAUAUUCUUUCACUCUCUCUCCUUAAAACCUUUGAAAAAUCUUAUUUCCAUACUUUCUCUCACUAGUUGGGCAUUCUAGAGAGAGAAAGAGAUAAUUACCCCAUUUGUGUGGAAGCUAUUGGAAGAGAAUUCAACUACAAAGGAACCUUAAGGUGAGUGAUGAACUAAGCUUGAUUUUUAGCUGUGAAUAAUGGCUAGUAAUUGGGAUUAUGAGUUGUUUUGUUGUUGAGUAUGUUCAUUCAUUUUAUAGUAAUUAGGAUAGUGAACAUAGAUAGCCAUUUAAAGUGACAAUUGAAAGCUAGUUGAGAGAUAGCUUUUAGGGUUUAUAGUAUGUGAAUUAACAUAAUGGUGAUGUUAAUGUGAUUGUAGGUUUCAAGGAAGCCCCAUCAUCCCAUUUGGACAAUUAGGGGAAUUGGAGUUAUCUAAAGGCUCAACAAUAUACCGGUGAGUGGACUGCCUAUCAAAAUAGUUUUGGGAAUAUGAUCGUUUUGUACAAAGUAUUUGAAUGGUUCUAUACAACUUUUGUUAAAACAAGUGCCUUGGGAACAAGCCUUUGAUAAAUCAAUUUUAUGUUAUGACAUGUGGUUAUCAUGGAUCUCUAUGCUACAACAUUAUGUUUAUAUACAUAUAUGAUUGAAUAUAGUGUUGUGUAAUUAUAUUGACUUGACUAUGUGCGAGUAAGGAGUUUGCAUAAGUCGAGGAUGACCCGAUUAUGUGCGAGUAGGGAGUGCACUAACCCGGUGAUGACCCAGCCAUGUGCGAGUAGGGAGUGCGCAUGAGCUGGUGAUGAUGGUGAUGUGAUGGUGUGCAUGAUGAUGAUGGGUAUACGUAUGCAUAUAUACAUAUGUAAAUAUGUGUGUUAUAGGAAAUUAAUGAGUAAGGGUAUAUAAUUGUAAUGCAUGUUAAACUUUGGAAAAUUGUUAUGUGUUUCAUGUUUGUUUGGACAUUUCAGCAGGGUGGUUUUUCUAUGGGAAGAAGGGUAAAUUUUUCAUUGAUGCCCUAUUUCUUGCUGUAAUAAUAAUCAUUUUCGCUACAGCGAGAAACUCUCAAGUUUGGAGAGGUAGACUGGUUGAAAACACGCUACAGCGAGAAACUUUCUGUUUCUAGAUCACAAUUUCGCUACAGUGAGAUUCAAUCUCACUAUAGUGAAAAACUUUCUGUUUUGGUCUCUUAUCUUGUCCAAUUGUUACCCUAUUUUUCACUUCUUUGCUACCAUAUCUAAGCAUGGACUUCCAACAUUAAGGACUAAAUAAGUUAAGUUUAAAAUGAGGAGGUUUAGUGAGAAACCCUUAGCCAGUUGAGAAACCCUCGUUCGGCUAAUAACUUAAUCCCAAUGUCGCUACAGCGAAGAUUCAUUGUUGUAUUUGACUUGCUUGCGUAUCAUUGAAGCUUUCAUUUUUCAAAUGGUUCGUUAUGUAUGGGUUCAUGAUUUUCAAAUGAUUAAUCAUUUAAGGGCUUGAUGAGGGGUUUUUAAUAUGAAUGGAACUAAAUUGCAUUAUUUUGAAACAAGUGCAUCAUAAUUUUAAAUUCUCCCUUGUUGUUGCUUGUUCCCUUCUUUGUUCACUCACUGGGUUUAUACUCACCGUUUUCAACUUCAUGCUUUCAGAUCACGAGGCAGUCGGUAACUAGGACGAGGUGUCCUCAUAGACUUGUAUCCAUCUUUUGGUAGCUGUCUCGGCAUUCAGUAGCUAUAUAUUCAUCUGAGUCCCUCCGCUGGAAGUCAAGUAUUCUUUUAUUGUGUAUAGACAAACCUAAUGUAAAUUAUUAAGAUACAUGUUGUAGAUAAUCUAUAUACACUUGUUUGGUAUGCAAAUAUGAGGU
rnacentral:lncRNA from 1 species